AAGUACCGUGAGGGAAAGGUGAAAAGAACCCCGGGAGGGGAGUGAAAUAGAAACUGAAACCGUAUGCUUACAAAAAGUUCGAGCACAUUAAUGUGUGAGAGCGUGCCUUUUGCAGAAUGAACCGGCGAGUUAUUGUAUUAUGCAAGGUUAAGUCGAACAGAUGGAGCCGAAGCGAAAGCGAGUCUGAAUAGGGCGCUUAAGUAUGAUGCAAUAGACCCGAAACCGAGUGAUCUAGCCAUGAGCAGGUUGAAGUUGGGGUAAGACCCAAUGGAGGACCGAACCGAUAUGCCCGGAAACGCGUACGGAUGACUUGUGGUUAGCGGAGAAAUUCCAAACGAACUCGGAGAUAGCUGGUUCUCCCCGAAAUAGGUUUAGGCCUAGCCUUGAUUGAAUCUGCCCGGAGGUAGAGCACUGAAUGUGCGAUGGCGUCGUCUAGAUGUACUGAGUACAAUCAAACUCCGAAUGCUGGGUAGUACUAAUCAGGAGUCACUGUAUGGGUGAUAACGUCCAUACGGGAGAGGAAAAGAAUCCGGAUCGCCAGCUAAGGUCCCAAAAUUUGUGUUAAGUGGGAAAGGAUGUAGAGUUGUCAAAACAGCUAGGAGGUUGGCUUAGAAGCAGCCACCCUUUAAAGAGUGCGUAAUAGCUCACUAGUCGAGUGACACUGCGCCGAAGAUGUACCGGGGCUAAACACAAUACCGAAGCUGCGGACUUGCAUGUAAGUGCAAGUGGUAGGGGAGCGUUCUAAGUGCUGAGAAGGUAGACCGUAAGGACUGCUGGAGCGCUUAGAAGUGAGAAUGCCGGUGUGAGUAACGAAAAUUGGGUGAGAAUCCCAUUCACCGUUUGACUAAGGGUUCCUGGGUAAAGUUCGUCUUCCCAGGGUAAGUCAGGACCUAAGAUGAGGCUGAAAAGCGUAGUCGAUGGACAACAGGUUGAUAUUCCUGUACCACCUAUAUGACUGAAGGAGUGACGGAGAAAGCUAGUGAGAGCCAGUUAAUGGAUUCUGGUCUAAGUGCGUAGGCUAGUAUGUUGGCAAAUCCGCAAUACUAUAACAGCUGAAACAUGAUGGGGAAGAGAGUCUUCGGACAAUCGAACUUUCAUGAUGCUAUGCUUCCAAGAAAAGCUUCUAGGGUUAAUCGUAUAGGUGCCUGUACCGACAACCGACACAGGUGGUCAAGGAGAGUAUCCUAAGGUGAGCGAGAGAACUAUGGUUAAGGAACUCGGCAAAAUGACCCCGUAACUUCGGGAGAAGGGGUGGUCUAGCGAUAGACCCGCAGUGAAUAGGCCCAGGCAACUGUUUACCAAAAACACAGGUCUCUGCUAACACGUAAGUGGAUGUAUAGGGGCUGACGCCUGCCCAGUGCUGGAAGGUUAAAGAGAUUAGUUAGUAUGACGUAAGUCGAUAAUACGAAGCUUUGAACUGAAGCCCCAGUGAACGGCGGCCGUAACUAUAACGGUCCUAAGGUAGCGAAAUUCCUUGUCAGGUAAGUUCUGACCCGCACGAAAGGUGUAACGAUCUGGGCACUGUCUCAACAACCCGCCCGGCGAAAUUGUAGUACCGGUGAAGAUGCCGGUUACCCGCGACUAGACGGAAAGACCCCAUGGAGCUUUACUGUAGCCUAAUAUUGGAUUUCGGUAUUUCACGUACAGGAUAGGUGGGAGACUGGGAAGCACAGGCGUCAGCUUGUGUGGAGUCGACCUUGGGAUACCACUCUUGGAGUGCUGGAAUUCUAACCUGCGGCUUUGAAGCAAGUCGAGGGACAUUGUUAGGUGGGCAGUUUGACUGGGGCGGUCGCCUCCUAAAGAGUAACGGAGGCGUUCAAAGGUUCCCUCAGAAUGGUUGGAAAUCAUUCAAAGAGCAUAAAGGUAUAAAGGGAGCUUGACUGCAAGACCUACAAGUCAAGCAGGUGCGAAAGCAGGACUUAGUGAUCAGGCGAUUCAGAAUGGAAUGGUCGUCGCUUAACGGAUAAAAGUUACCCCGGGGAUAACAGGCUGAUACCACCCAAUAGUUCACAUAGACGGUGGUGUUUGGCACCUCGAUGUCGGCUCGUCAUAUCCUGGAGGUGGAGUCGCUUCCAAGGGUUGGGCUGUUCGCCCAUUAAAAUGGCACGCGAGCUGGGUUCAGAACGUCGUGAGACAGUUCGGUCCCUAUCCGUCGUGGGCGUAGGAAAAUUGAGGAGAGCUGUUCCUAGUACGAGAGGACCGGAAUGGACAUACCUCUGGUGUAUCUGUUGUAACGCCAGUUGCAGUGCAGAGUAGCUAUGUAUGGACGGGAUAACCGCUGAAAGCAUCUAAGCGGGAAGCCUCCUCCAAGAUGAAUUUUCCCAUUCUUCGUGAAGUAAGAUUCCUUGU
rnacentral:rRNA from 1 species